ensembl:lncRNA
GGGGGAGUGCUAUCUUUGGCGGCGAUGGGCCGGCUCCGCUCUCUCCCGGUCGUCCACCUGACACGCAUCAUGCAUCCAUUCAUGGCCUCGGGGCUCUGUCAGGGUGAAACAGUGCCGGGCUGCGGCCGGUCACACCGCUGUUGGAAUCACUGGCGUGGCGGGCUGCCCUGUCCCCCUGCUUUACGGAGGACGCCCCCGUCAGCACUUCUGUAGGACGGCGUCCGUGCGUUUGAAGAAACAGUGUGGGCGGGAAGGAGCAGCGGGGCUACGCGUGCAGUGGGAAUAUCGGUUUGUUGGAUAGACGGUGUUGCCUCAUUUAAAUGUGGGUUGCACAGAUCAAUGUAACAUAAUUGGUCUAAUGCGUAAUCGCUUCGUGUGUCACUGUUACUGUUAACAAUGUGCAAUUAGUGCAUCGCUUGGCAAAGAGGUCUAUUGCCCCCCCAUAGGUCCGGGAACAGAGGCUUUGAGUCAGCUAGUACCGUACCGCACAACUGGAUGAGACUUACCAGAAAUAAAGUGUGCACACUCUCUCCACACACUGUCGAUAUGAAUUCAGGGUAGCAUAGAACAUCAAAAAUCACAGAGGAGCCGGACGGUGUUGUUUUUAAUCUAAUCUGUGGUUUGGUUGUAGGUUCGCCCAGUGUAUAAAGCCUCCAGUGUAUUGCUUGUGAUGUGAUGCCAAAACCAAGGCUUGUUUGUGUGUGUCUGUGUUUGUAUAUGUGUGUGCACACGUGUUUGUUUGGGUGUCUGUGUGUGUAUGCGUUUGUACACACGUGUGCUUGUGUGUGUGUGUUUGUUUGUGUGUGUGUGUUUGUUUGUGUGCGUGCACGUGUGUUUGUGUGUCUGCACAUGUGUCCGUUUGUCUGUGUGCAUGCAUGUGUUUGUGUGUGUGUGUGUGUGCGUGCACGUGUGUUUGUGUGUGUGUGUCUGUGUGUGUGUGUGUGUGCGUGCACGUGCGCUCGUGUCUCGCUCUUUCGGCCGCCGCUUACAAAAUAGAUAUCUGUGAUUGGCACGUCGUCGUCGUCGUCCUGCGAGGCCUGGCUGGUGCAGCCGGAGCCUGACAUCAGGCUGGCCUGGUCCGGCUCCACCACCACCACCACCACGGGGGGGCCCUCCAGGGGGGAGGUGGCCCGCGCGGCCCCGGGGGAGGAGGGGCCGGCAGAGGGGGUGGAGGACGAGGCCCCGGGCCCCGGAGGGCCGAUGGUAGAAGAGGCGGCGGCGGCGGCGGCGGCUCUGUCUACUUCCUGACCGUCAC